rnacentral:lncRNA from 1 species
GCUAAGUGGUAGGGUGAGGGAGAAAAGUUAUGUUACUCAGUGUGGUGGAAGUUCCCCUAUUUAUGUGAGAGAAGCAUGUGUGUAUACAAGUGUUUCCCACUCCAAUUCUUGCUUAUUUUUUUAGAGGACGAUACUUUGCCUCAUCGGUAUGCCGAUCCUCGAUCUCCCACUCCUGGGGUCAGACGGGAUAAUGUCGGUGAAGCCACCAGUUGCCUCGAGAUUACCUUCUAAAGAAAAUCCCUAAGCAAAGUAACAAGGAUGGCGUAAAGAAUGGAUCCCGUGAUUCUGCGGCCACUAGAGUAAGGUAAAACCUUUUCUUACUGCCAAUUUCUCUAGUUUCUGAAAGUCAGUGAUGGGAAUAACUUGCUGCUAUAGAAGCCUUAGAAAGUCAUACUGUUAGGUAGCACAAGUUUAGAGGGUAGGACUUUCUUGGUAAGACUAACCUGUGGGAUUUUUUUUUCUGGAGUAUUUUAAUGGCUGAAAUAGAAUCUCUUUACAUAGAAUGUAAGGAAACAAUUAUAUUCAGUUUACCCAACUUGCCAACCUCAUUUCUUUCCUAUGUAGUAAAGAAGUAGGAAAAUCCUCAAGACAUGACAACUAAACCAUAUGGCAAUAAAGUUAAAGUAUGGGUAUUAGAAAUGGAGGUG